UACGGGGGGAGCAAGCGUUGUUCGGAUUUACUGGGCGUAAAGGGCGCGUAGGCGGUCAGCACAAGUCAGUUGUGAAAUCUCCGGGCUUAACUCGGAAAGGUCAACUGAUACUGUGCGACUAGAGUGCAGAAGGGGCAACUGGAAUUCUCGGUGUAGCGGUGAAAUGCGCAGAUAUCAGGAGGAACACCGGUGGCGAAGGCGGGAUCCUGGGCCAGUACUGACGCUGAGGAGCGAAAGCGUGGGGAGCAAACAGG
rnacentral:rRNA from 1 species